GUGGGGAAUUUUGGACAAUGGGCGCAAGCCUGAUCCAGCAAUGCCGCGUGUGUGAAGAAGGCCUUCGGGUUGUAAAGCACUUUUGGCAGGAAAGAAAUAGUGCGUGCUAAUACCAUGCGCGAAUGACGGUACCUGCAGAAUAAGCACCGGCUAACUACGUGCCAGCAGCCGCGGUAAGACGUAGGGUGCAAGCGUUAAUCGGAAUUACUGGGCGUAAAGCGUGCGCAGGCGGUUUUGUAAGACAGGUGUGAAAUCCCCGGGCUCAACCUGGGAACUGCACUUGUGACUGCAAGGCUAGAGUGUGUCAGAGGGAGGUGGAAUUCCGCGUGUAGCAGUGAAAUGCGUAGAGAUGCGGAGGAACACCGAUGGCGAAGGCAGCCUCCUGGGAUAACACUGACGCUCAGGCACGAAAGCGUGGGGAGCAAACAGGAUUAGAAGCCCGUGUAGUCC
rnacentral:rRNA from 1 species